rnacentral:rRNA from 1 species
ACCACAUUUAAUCAAAACAAAACUUUCAACAACGGAUCUCUUGGUUCUG